rnacentral:rRNA from 1 species
UGCGUAGGUGGUUUCUUAAGUCAGAGGUGAAAGGCUACGGCUCAACCGUAGUAAGCCUUUGAAACUGAGAAACUUGAGUACAGGAGAGGAGAGUGGAAUUCCUAGUGUAGCGGUGAAAUGCGUAGAUAUUAGGAGGAACACCAGUUGCGAAGGCGGCUCUCUGGACUGUAACUGACACUGAGGCACGAAAGCGUGGGGAGCAAACA